AGUUAGGGUUAAGGUAAUGGUUAGGUUUAGUGGUUAGGGUUAAGGUAAUGGUUAGGUUUAGUGGUUAGGGUUAAGGUAAUGGUUAGGUUUAGUGGUUAGGGUUAAGGUAAUGGUUAGGUUUAGUGGUUAGGGUUAAGGUAAUGGUAAGUUUUAGUGGUUAGGGUUAAGGUAAUGGUUAGGGUUAGGGUUAAGGUAAUGGUUAGGGUUAGGGUUAAGGUAAUGGUUAGGGUUAAGGUAAUGGUUAGGGGUUAGUGGUUAAGGUAAUGGUUAGGGUUAGUGGUUAAGGUAGUGGUUAGUGGUUAGGGUUAAGGUAAUGGUUAGGGUUAGUGGUUAAGGUAAUGGUUAGGGUUAGUGGUUAGGGUUAAGGUAAUGGUUAGGGUUAGUGGUUAAGGUAAUGGUUAGGGUUAGUGGUUAAGGUUAGUGGUUAAGGUAAUGGUUAAUGGUUAAGGUAAUGGUUAGGGUUAGUGGUUAAGGUAAUGGUUAGGGUUAGUGGUUAAGGUAAUGGUUAGGGGUUAAGGUAAUGGUUAGGGGUUAAGGUAAUGGGUAGGGUUAGUGGUUAAGGUAAUGGUUAGGGUUUGUGGUUAAGGUAAUGGUUAGGUUAGUGGUUAGGGUUAAGGUAAUGGUUAGGGUUACUGGUUAGGGUUAAGGUAAUGGUUAGGGUUAGUGGUUAGGGUUAGUGGUUAAGGUAAUGGUUAGGGUUAGUGGUUAAGGUAAUGGUUAGGGUUAGUGGUUAAGGUAAUGGUUAGGGGUUAAGGUAAUGGUUAGGGGUUAAGGUAAUGGGUAGGGUUAGUGGUUAAGGUAAUGGUUAGGGUUUGUGGUUAAGGUAAUGGUUAGGUUAGUGGUUAGGGUUAAGGUAAUGGUUAGGGUUAGUGGUUAGGGUUAAGGUAAUGGUUAGGGUUAGUGGUUAAGGUAAUGGUUAGGGUUAGUGUUAAGGUAAUGGUUAGUGGUUAAGGUAAUGGUUAGGGUUAAGGUAAUGGUUAGGGUUAGUGGUUAAGGUAAUGGUUAGGGUUAGUGGUUAAGGUAAUGGUUAAGGUAAUGGUUAGGGUUAGUGGUUAAGGUAAUGGUUAGGUUAGUGGUUAGGGUUAAGGUAAUGGUUAGGGUUAGUGGUUAAGGUCAUGGUUAGGUUAGUGGUUAGGGUUAAGGUAAUGGUUAGGGUUAGUGGUUAAGGUAAUGGUUAGGUUUAGUGGUUAGGGUUAAGGUAAUGGUUAGGGUUAGUGGUUAAGGUAAUGGUUAGUGGUUAAGGUAAUGGUUAGUGGUUAAGGUAAUGGUUAGGGUUAGUGGUUAAGGUAAUGGUUAUGGUUAAGGUAAUGGUUAGGUUAGUGGUUAGGGUUAAGGUAAUGGUUAGGGGUUAAGGUAAUGGUUAGGGUUAGUGGUUAAGGUAAUGGUUAGGGUUAGUGGUUAAGGUAAUGGUUAGGGUUAGUGGUUAAGGUAAUGGUUAGGGUUAGUGGUUAAGGUAAUGGUUAGGGUUAGUGGUUAAGGUAAUGGUUAGGGUUAGUGGUUAAGGUAAUGGUUAGUGGUUAAGGUAAUGGUUAGUGGUUAAGGUAAUGGUUAGUGGUUAAGGUAAUGGUUAGGUUAGUGGUUAGGGGAAAAGGAUGUA